GCGGCAGGCCUUAUACAUGCAAGUCGAACGGUAACAUUGGUGCUUGCACCAGAUGACGAGUGGCGGACGGGUGCGUAACGCGUAUGCAACCUACCUUUUACUAGAGUAUAGCCCAGAGAAAUUUGGAUUAAUCCUCUAUAAUAUCAUUAAAUCACAUGUUUUUUUGAUUAAAGUUUUAACGGUAAAAGAUGGGCAUGCGUCUUAUUAGUUUGUAGGUGAGGUAACGGCUCACCUAGACUACGAUAAGUAGGGGCCCUGAGAGGGGGAUCCCCCACACUGGUACUGAGACACGGACCAGACUCCUACGGGAGGCAGCAGUAAGGAAUAUUGGACAAUGGACGAAAGUCUGAUCCAGCCAUGCCGCGUGCAGGAUGACUGCCCUAUGGGUUGUAAACUGCUUUUAUACAGGAAGAAAAACUCCGACGUGUCGGAGCUUGACGGUACUGUAAGAAUAAGGAUCGGCUAACUCCGUGCCAGCAGCCGCGGUAAUACGGAGGAUCCAAGCGUUAUCCGGAAUCAUUGGGUUUAAAGGGUCCGCAGGCGGUCUUUUAAGUCAGAGGUGAAAUCCUACAGCUCAACUGUAGAACGGCCUUUGAUACUGAAAGACUUGAGUUAUUGUGAAGUGGUUAGAAUGUGUGGUGUAGCGGUGAAAUGCAUAGAUAUCACACAGAAUACCGAUUGCGAAGGCAGAUCACUAACAAUAUACUGACGCUCAGGGACGAAAGCGUGGGGAGCGAACAGGAUUAGAUACCCUGGUAGUCCACGCCGUAAACGAUGGAUACUAGCUGUUCGCUUAACAUUGGUUAAGUGAGUGGCUAAGCGAAAGUGAUAAGUAUCCCACCUGGGGAGUACGGUC
rnacentral:rRNA from 1 species